rnacentral:rRNA from 1 species
GCCAGACUCCUACGGGAGGCAGCAGUGGGGAAUAUUGCACAAUGGGGGAUACCCUGAUGCAGCGACGCCGCGUGAGCGAAGAAGUACCUCGGUAUGUAAAGCUCUAUCAGCAGGGAAGAAGAUGACGGUACCUGACCAAGAAGCUCCGGCUAAAUACGUGCCAGCAGCCGCGGUAAUACGUAUGGAGCAAGCGUUAUCCGGAUUUACUGGGUGUAAAGGGAGCGCAGGCGGCCUUGCAAGUCUGAUGUGAAAGGCCGGGGCCCAACCCCGGGACUGCAUUGGAAACUGCGCGGCUGGAGUGCAGGAGGGGCAGGCGGAAUUCCUGGUGUAGCGGUGAAAUGCGUAGAUAUCACGCAGAACUCCGAUUGCGAAGGCAGCAUACCGGCGCCCUACUGACGCUGAGGCACGAAAGCGUGGGUAUCGAACAGGAUUAGAUACCCCUGUA